rnacentral:rRNA from 1 species
AUGAACGCUAGCUACAGGCUUAACACAUGCAAGUCGAGGGGCAGCAUUUUAGUUUGCUUGCAAACUGAAGAUGGCGACCGGCGCACGGGUGAGUAACACGUAUCCAACCUGCCGAUAACUCCGGGAUAGCCUUUCGAAAGAAAGAUUAAUACCGGAUAGCAUACGAAUAUCGCAUGAUAUUUUUAUUAAAGAAUUUCGGUUAUCGAUGGGGAUGCGUUCCAUUAGUUUGUUGGCGGGGUAACGGCCCACCAAGACUACGAUGGAUAGGGGUUCUGAGAGGAAGGUCCCCCACAUUGGAACUGAGACACGGUCCAAACUCCUACGGGAGGCAGCAGUGAGGAAUAUUGGUCAAUGGGCGCGAGCCUGAACCAGCCAAGUAGCGUGAAGGAUGAAGGCUCUAUGGGUCGUAAACUUCUUUUAUAUGGGAAUAAAGUUUUCCACGUGUGGAAUUUUGUAUGUACCAUAUGAAUAAGGAUCGGCUAACUCCGUGCCAGCAGCCGCGGUAAUACGGAGGAUCCGAGCGUUAUCCGGAUUUAUUGGGUUUAAAGGGAGCGUAGGUGGAUUGUUAAGUCAGUUGUGAAAGUUUGCGGCUCAACCGUAAAAUUGCAGUUGAAACUGGCAGUCUUGAGUACAGUAGAGGUGGGCGGAAUUCGUGGUGUAGCGGUGAAAUGCUUAGAUAUCACGAAGAACUCCGAUUGCGAAGGCAGCUCACUAGACUGUCACUGACACUGAUGCUCGAAAGUGUGGGUAUCAAACAGGAUUAGAUACCCUGGUAGUCCACACAGUAAACGAUGAAUACUCGCUGUUUGCGAUAUACAGUAAGCGGCCAAGCGAAAGCAUUAAGUAUUCCACCUGGGGAGUACGCCGGCAACGGUGAAACUCAAAGGAAUUGACGGGGGCCCGCACAAGCGGAGGAACAUGUGGUUUAAUUCGAUGAUACGCGAGGAACCUUACCCGGGCUUAAAUUGCAACAGAAUAUAUUGGAAACAGUAUAGCCGUAAGGCUGUUGUGAAGGUGCGGCAUGGUUGUCGUCAGCUCGUGCCGUGAGGUGUCGGCUUAAGUGCCAUAACGAGCGCAACCCUUAUCGAUAGUUACCAUCAGGUUAUGCUGGGGACUCUGUCGAGACUGCCGUCGUAAGAUGUGAGGAAGGUGGGGAUGACGUCAAAUCAGCACGGCCCUUACGUCCGGGGCUACACACGUGUUACAAUGGGGGGUACAGAAGGCGGCUACCUGGUGACAGGAUGCUAAUCCCAAAAACCUCUCUCAGUUCGGAUCGAAGUCUGCAACCCGACUUCGUGAAGCUGGAUUCGCUAGUAAUCGCGCAUCAGCCAUGGCGCGGUGAAUACGUUCCCGGGCCUUGUACACACCGCCCGUCAAGCCAUGAAAGCCGGGGGUACCUGAAGUCCGUAACCGCGAGGAUCGGCCUAGGGUAAAACUGGUGACUGGGGCU